ACAGCAGUAGCCGCGGUAAUACGUAGGUCCCGAGCGUUGUCCGGAUUUAUUGGGCGUAAAGCGAGCGCAGGCGGUUAGAUAAGUCUGAAGUUAAAGGCUGUGGCUUAACCAUAGUACGCUUUGGAAACUGCUUAACUUGAGUGCAAGAGGGGAGAGUGGAAUUCCAUGUGUAGCGGUGAAAUGCGUAGAUAUAUGGAGGAACACCGGUGGCGAAAGCGGCUCUCUGGCUUGUAACUGACGCUGAGGCUCGAAAGCGUGGGGAGCAAACAGGAUUAGAUACCCCAGUAGUCCCUGUCUCUUAUACA
rnacentral:rRNA from 1 species